rnacentral:rRNA from 1 species
GACGAACGCUGGCGGCGUGCUUAACGCAUGCAAGUCGAACGGAAAGGCCCUGCUUUUGUGGGGUGCUCGAGUGGCGAACGGGUGAGUAACACGUGAGUAACCUGCCCUUGACUUUGGGAUAACUUCAGGAAACUGGGGCUAAUACCGGAUAGGAGCUCCUGCUGCAUGGUGGGGGUUGGAAAGUUUCGGCGGUUGGGGAUGGACUCGCGGCUUAUCAGCUUGUUGGUGGGGUAGUGGCUUACCAAGGCUUUGACGGGUAGCCGGCCUGAGAGGGUGACCGGCCACAUUGGGACUGAGAUACGGCCCAGACUCCUACGGGAGGCAGCAGUGGGGAAUAUUGCACAAUGGGCGGCAGCCUGAUGCAGCAACGCCGCGUGCGGGAUGACGGCCUUCGGGUUGUAAACCGCUUUCGCCUGUGACGAGGCGUGAGUGACGGUAAUGGGUAAAGAAGCACCGGCUAACUACGUG